AGCAGCCGCGGUAAUUCCAGCUCCAAUAGCGUGUAUUAAAGUUGUUGCAGUUAAAAAGCUCGUAGUUGAAUUUUGGAUUCUUCCAAUUGGUCCAUCUUUUAGAUGAGUACUGAUUGUGUGGGGUCUAUCCGCCUGGUGAUACGUAAUGUCCUUUAUUGGAUGUUGCGGGUAGUCAGGACCUUUACCUUGAAAAAAUUAGAGUGUUUAAAGCAGGCUUGUGCCGGAAUACAUUAGCAUGGAAUAAUAGAAUAGGACGAAGUUGUUUUAUUUUGUUGGUUUCUAGGACAACCGUAAUGAUUAAUAGGGAUAGUUGGGGGCAUUAGUAUUCAAUUGUCAGAGGUGAAAUUCUUGGAUUUAUUGAAGACUAACUACUGCGAAAGCAUUUGCCAAGGAUGUUUUCAUUAAUCAAGAACGAAAGUUAGGGGAUCGAAGACGAUCAGAUACCGUCGUAGUCUUAACCAUAAACUAUGCGACUAGGGAUCGGGCGAUGUUGUUUCCAUGACUCGCUCGGCACCUUAU
rnacentral:rRNA from 1 species